UGUGUUGCUCGACCUCUAGUUCCUACCAUGAGUCAUUAUAUCCCUUAGUUAUUGUUUGAUCCUUUUAUCUUGUUCUUUCAUUUCCUGUUGGUGCUUUGAAUGUCUGAAUCAGAUCUGAGUUUGAGUUGGAGGUUUCUUAAAUGUAUCUGUACAAAUUUGUAUUUCAGGUUACGUGACGUACACACACACUUAACAUGGCAACCACACUGCAGUUGAUCGGUGGUGGAAGAGGCAGUUCAUUUGAAUUCCACGGCAUGAACAACGGUGCCACCCUCAGGAAGAUUGGAGUGGCGGUGGAAGGCUGGCGGGUCAAAGCUGUGCGGGCGGAGCUAGUGGACAGGCACGUUGCGACCUUUGGAAAUUCAUACACUUUCAAUGAGGUUGAGUUCAAACUCGGUGAGCGCAUCACCAAGCUGUCGCUGUUUGGUAACAGUGCCGGCACACGUCUGGGUGCCAUCAAGUUCACGACGAGUCAGAACCGUCAGUUCUUUGAAAAAAUGACCAGCUGGCCACUGAAGACUGAGUACACCAUAGAUGUGGGGUCUGGAAUCUGCCUGGGACUGUAGGGCAGGUCUGGCUCAGACAUCGACUGCAUGGGCUUCCUCUUCAUCAACACCAUCAAGUUGUCCGUGCUGAAUGACAUGAAGUAUCCCACCCUGUCCCUCUUCAAACCCCAGGUGACUCCAGAAUAUGUUAAAUCCGUGUCCCACCACAAUGACACCUCAUUGGUUCAAGAGGAGUCCAUUACAUACAGCAAGACCCUGACCAAGACUUCCUCCUGGUCCGUCAGCAACAAGAUAGAAUCCACCUUGAGUGUGUCGGUCAAAGCAGGGAUCCCGGAUAUGGUCGAGGUGUCAUCAGGGUUCAGCUUGACCAUGGGAGUGGAGCAAUCCACCAGCCUGCAGAAGACAGAGACCAUAACAGAAUCAGAUACCAUCAAAGUGAAGAUCCCACCAGGGACGACCAUGGAUGUUGAGAUCACAGUGGGGAAAGCAAAUUUCGACCUUGACUACAGGGCCAUAGUGAAAGUCACCUGCAUGAAUGGCAGUCAGCUGUUCUUCCCAUCCACUGGUGUGACUUACACUUCAGUGAGGAUAUCCACAAAGGAGAGAUGAGUCAAGUGUAUGACAUCAUGAAUAGUAUGCACAGUGAUAGAACGUGACACCAUUACUGAUUAUUUGUGUGCCUUCUCUGUUAUUAAGAUCAUCUUUGAGUGAUUCUGAUUGAACCCAGUUGACUCAGCUCUUUAUUUCUGUCUCAGCAGAGGGUAUAACAACAGGUGGGUCAUACCUACAAUCCGUUGCCUUUUGUGUCCAAUGACAUUUUAACACAUGUUUUGUGUGAAUGAUUGUACAACAUUCACUACAAAAUGUUUUUUCUUAUAUGGUUAGAUGCCCAUUUACCAUAAAAAACAAUGUUAUGUAACUAUAAUGAAUUAAAGUUGUAAUAAACCAUUUGUCUGGUGUGUCAGUAAGCUUUCGCCCUAUCCCCAGUUAAGUUUAUUCAUCUUCCAUUAGAUAUACUAUUCAUAAAAUUCACAAAUAUUGUAAUUAUCAUU